GCCAGUUCUUGGUUGUGUUUGUGUCCUGGAAGGCAGGGGCUGAGCCCACCUCAGGGCCACCAUACUGCAGUCCCCCAUGACUCAGAGUUGAGUUAGGAGGUGAAGAGAAGAGCAGGAGACUGGAGCUUUGGGGUAAAGGUUUGGGGGUGGGGCUUGUGUAUCCUAGGAGCUAGUGGGAAGACUGAGUCAGUGGUAGGGGUUGGUCUGUCCACUUGGAGUUUGGAGGUCUGGCUCUCCUGUUGGUCACUGUCCAGGUGGCGACCUUGGAAUCAAUCCAGAAAGGCAACUUGGUCUCCCAGCCUGCCCAGGAAGUCUUCCUUCAGGCCAGCCAGCUUUUCUAGAAGGUUCUCCAGGGAGUCAGUCCCAGGGCUCUGCCUCUGGAGUCUCUGCGCUUCCCUCACUUGCCUCUAGAUGGAAGAUUUCCUCACCUGGUGCCCAACAGGCUCCCCCUGCGGCCACAUCCAGCAAACCUGUGGAUGCUAGAAUUCUCAGAACCAAAUGCAGCCCUUAUCUUCUGCCGCAAAGCGUGACAGGCUUGUGUGUGGCUGGUGAGUGGACACAGCCAGGUCCGGCUGGCUCAGACGAGGGGGCAACCCAUCAGUCCCUUGGUGGUGGUGGUGCGCCUCCUUUCACCCCCUGGCAUGUCCACUCAAGCAGAGGCACCUCGAGCUCAGGUCAUUCACAUAUUCAUUCAUUUCUGCAGUUAUCAAGCAUCAUUUGCUAUGUCCGUUUUUGGGGACAGAGAGGAGGACACAGGGUCCCUGCCUGAGUCUAGAGGAGGAGACAGGAAAUAGAUGUGACCAUGCAGGGUGGUAAGUACUCCGAGGAGAAUUGUUUUCUUCCUCUGAGCCCUACUUUUCUGUCUGGCUUCUCUGACAGAGUCAGUGGCAUCAUUACCACCCAUCUGCUCAACCCGAAAAUGCAGAGUCAUCUCCAUGCCUCCCCCACUCAGCCCCAUCUCCUUUUCAGCCAC
ensembl:lncRNA